rnacentral:rRNA from 1 species
UACAGGGGGUGCAAACGUUGCUCGGAAUCAUUGGGCGUAAAGCGCACGUAGGCGGAUUCUUAAGUCGGUGGUGAAAGCCUGGAGCUCAACUCCAGAACUGCCUUCGAUACUGAGAGUCUUGAGUCCGGGAGAGGUGAGUGGAACUGCGAGUGUAGAGGUGAAAUUCGUAGAUAUUCGCAAGAACACCAGUGGCGAAGGCGGCUCACUGGCCCGGUACUGACGCUGAGGUGCGAAAGCGUGGGGAGCAAACAGG